rnacentral:rRNA from 1 species
UGGGGAAUAUUGCACAAUGGGGGAAACCCUGAUGCAGCGACGCCGCGUGAGUGAAGAAGUUAUUCGUAAUGUAAAGCUCUAUCAGCAGGGAAGAAAGUGACGGUACCUGAGUAAGAAGCACCGGCUAAAUACGUGCC